AGAGGAGAGAGCGAGAGAGGGAUCCAGACCCCAGUUCGCCGACUAAGCAGAAGAAAGAUCAAAAACCGGAAAAGAGGAGAAGAGCAAACAGGCACUUUGAGGAACAAUCCCUUUAACUCCAAGCCGACAGCGGUCUAGGAAUUCAAGUUCAGUGCCUACCGAAGACAAAGGCGCCCCGAGGGAGUGGCGGUGCGACCCCAGGGCGUGGGCCCGGCCGCGGAGCCCACACUGCCCGGCUGACCCGGUGGUCUCGGACCAUGUCUCCCGCCCCAAGACCCUCCCGUUGUCUCCUGCUCCCCCUGCUCACGCUCGGCACCGCGCUCGCCUCCCUCGGCUCGGCCCAAAGCAGCAGCUUCAGCCCCGAAGCCUGGCUACAGCAAUAUGGCUACCUGCCUCCCGGGGACCUACGUACCCACACACAGCGCUCACCCCAGUCACUCUCAGCGGCCAUCGCUGCCAUGCAGAAGUUUUACGGCUUGCAAGUAACAGGCAAAGCUGAUGCAGACACCAUGAAGUAAGUGCUAGACCCUGGCAGGAGUUCUGCCUAGCAUCCACUGAC
rnacentral:sRNA from 1 species